CAAAAGUCAAUGGCGUUAGGAGGAAAUGGAGGCUGGGGAAGGCUCGUUGGCUUGGAGCUGGUACAUGGGAAGUUGCUGGUCUGAGUGAUGGCUGAAUUGUGUAGGGUGUUUAACACCACGAGAGUAAAACAAUCAACUCCUCAUUGGCAUAGUGCUUUCAUUCUCUCCAAGAAAAUGAGAGCAGCCCACCUCAGAGCUUCAACCCCAGCACCCGGAAAAUAGAGGCAGAUGUCCCAGCCUCUACAAGUUCAAGGCCAGCCCACUCUGCACAGUGAAUUCCAG
rnacentral:lncRNA from 1 species